UGGGACCCCAGGUCAGGCGGGACUACCCGCUGAGUUUAAGCAUAUCUAAA
rnacentral:rRNA from 1 species